UGGACUAACACACACAUAUUGUGCCCCCCCAAAGCACUGGUUGUUUAAAGUAAUUCAAGUCUGUGUGCAUGAAGAAGCACACGGAACGUGUGCGCCUACUAGUGCCACUCCUGAUACUUCUUGUUUGCUUUGUUCUUCAUGCUCAAUGUGGGAGUAUAAAAGACACAGGUAACAGGAAGAUCAGUCUACCGUAUGGAUUGUGUGGACCACCUAAACAACUUCCAAAAUGCAAGAACGUCUAUUGUUGGUGUUGUUUCCCGGAUCCCAACUACAAUUGCUAUCGUACGCCUGAAAUAUGUGAUAAGGAAUGCCGCAAACAUUCUUCACUAAAGAUAAUCGCGGCAGCGCCCUCCUCCUCCUUCCUCCCAUCAAACUGAAAUAUUUGUUUGCUGGAAAUAAAAAAGUGCAGCGUUUAUCUUGUUCUUUACAGUUGGAGUUACAUGUUGAGACUCUCAUAUUAAUCAGAAAACAAUAAUAUAUA